rnacentral:lncRNA from 1 species
GCAGCUUGCCCCAGCCCAAACCCAGAGCGGCAGGUCACCGAGCCAACACCUUCCAGGAUGACCAGUGCUGCCCCUGCUAAGAAACCUUACCGGAAGGCACCUCCCGAGCAUCGAGAGCUGCGCCUGGAAACCCCUGUGUCCCGGCUUGAGCAACAGGAGCCCUUGACGGAUGCAGAGAGGAUGCAGUGAGUAUUGACUCCCGUCACUGGACUGCGCACUGUGCCCUUUUCACUCCCUGCUGGGCUAUUGGCAUCACCAGACUCCCUUACAUCUGCCCUUCCAACUUCUAAUACUGCACAGUGUCCUCGAUAGUCAAGAGCCAUACGCUUGAAUUACAAAACAGAUACACAUUGCAGGAAA